UACCUUUUGUAUAAUGGGUCAGCGACUUAUAUUCUGUAGCAAGGUUAACCGAAUAGGGGAGCCGAAGGGAAACCGAGUCUUAACUGGGCGUUAAGUUGCAGGGUAUAGACCCGAAACCCGGUGAUCUAGCCAUGGGCAGGUUGAAGGUUGGGUAACACUAACUGGAGGACCGAACCGACUAAUGUUGAAAAAUUAGCGGAUGACUUGUGGCUGGGGGUGAAAGGCCAAUCAAACCGGGAGAUAGCUGGUUCUCCCCGAAAGCUAUUUAGGUAGCGCCUCGUGAAUUCAUCUCCGGGGGUAGAGCACUGUUUCGGCAAGGGGGUCAUCCCGACUUACCAACCCGAUGCAAACUGCGAAUACCGGAGAAUGUUAUCACGGGAGACACACGGCGGGUGCUAACGUCCGUCGUGAAGAGGGAAACAACCCAGACCGCCAGCUAAGGUCCCAAAGUCAUGGUUAAGUGGGAAACGAUGUGGGAAGGCCCAGACAGCCAGGAUGUUGGCUUAGAAGCAGCCAUCAUUUAAAGAAAGCGUAAUAGCUCACUGGUCGAGUCGGCCUGCGCGGAAGAUGUAACGGGGCUAAACCAUGCACCGAAGCUGCGGCAGCGACGCUUAUGCGUUGUUGGGUAGGGGAGCGUUCUGUAAGCCUGCGAAGGUGUGCUGUGAGGCAUGCUGGAGGUAUCAGAAGUGCGAAUGCUGACAUAAGUAACGAUAAAGCGGGUGAAAAGCCCGCUCGCCGGAAGACCAAGGGUUCCUGUCCAACGUUAAUCGGGGCAGGGUGAGUCGACCCCUAAGGCGAGGCCGAAAGGCGUAGUCGAUGGGAAACAGGUUAAUAUUCCUGUACUUGGUGUUACUGCGAAGGGGGGACGGAGAAGGCUAUGUUGGCCGGGCGACGGUUGUCCCGGUUUAAGCGUGUAGGCUGGUUUUCCAGGCAAAUCCGGAAAAUCAAGGCUGAGGCGUGAUGACGAGGCACUACGGUGCUGAAGCAACAAAUGCCCUGCUUCCAGGAAAAGCCUCUAAGCAUCAGGUAACAUCAAAUCGUACCCCAAACCGACACAGGUGGUCAGGUAGAGAAUACCAAGGCGCUUGAGAGAACUCGGGUGAAGGAACUAGGCAAAAUGGUGCCGUAACUUCGGGAGAAGGCACGCUGAUAUGUAGGUGAAGUCCCUUGCGGAUGGAGCUGAAAUCAGUCGAAGAUACCAGCUGGCUGCAACUGUUUAUUAAAAACACAGCACUGUGCAAACACGAAAGUGGACGUAUACGGUGUGACGCCUGCCCGGUGCCGGAAGGUUAAUUGAUGGGGUCAGCGCAAGCGAAGCUCUUGAUCGAAGCCCCGGUAAACGGCGGCCGUAACUAUAACGGUCCUAAGGUAGCGAAAUUCCUUGUCGGGUAAGUUCCGACCUGCACGAAUGGCGUAAUGAUGGCCAGGCUGUCUCCACCCGAGACUCAGUGAAAUUGAACUCGCUGUGAAGAUGCAGUGUACCCGCGGCAAGACGGAAAGACCCCGUGAACCUUUACUAUAGCUUGACACUGAACAUUGAGCCUUGAUGUGUAGGAUAGGUGGGAGGCUUUGAAGUGUGGACGCCAGUCUGCAUGGAGCCGGCCUUGAAAUACCACCCUUUAAUGUUUGAUGUUCUAACGUGGACCCGUGAUCCGGGUUGCGGACAGUGUCUGGUGGGUAGUUUGACUGGGGCGGUCUCCUCCUAAAGAGUAACGGAGGAGCACGAAGGUUGGCUAAUCCUGGUCGGACAUCAGGAGGUUAGUGCAAUGGCAUAAGCCAGCUUGACUGCGAGCGUGACGGCGCGAGCAGGUGCGAAAGCAGGUCAUAGUGAUCCGGUGGUUCUGAAUGGAAGGGCCAUCGCUCAACGGAUAAAAGGUACUCCGGGGAUAACAGGCUGAUACCGCCCAAGAGUUCAUAUCGACGGCGGUGUUUGGCACCUCGAUGUCGGCUCAUCACAUCCUGGGGCUGAAGUAGGUCCCAAGGGUAUGGCUGUUCGCCAUUUAAAGUGGUACGCGAGCUGGGUUUAGAACGUCGUGAGACAGUUCGGUCCCUAUCUGCCGUGGGCGCUGGAGAACUGAGGGGGGCUGCUCCUAGUACGAGAGGACCGGAGUGGACGCAUCACUGGUGUUCGGGUUGUCAUGCCAAUGGCACUGCCCGGUAGCUAAAUGCGGAAGAGAUAAGUGCUGAAAGCAUCUAAGCACGAAACUUGCCCCGAGAUGAGUUCUCCCUGACCCUUUAAGGGUCCUGAAGGAACGUUGAAGACGACGACGUUGAUAGGCCGGGUGUGUAAGCGCAGCGAUGCGUUGAGCUAACCGGUACUAAUGAACCGUGAGG
rnacentral:rRNA from 1 species